rnacentral:rRNA from 1 species
CUCUCCUACGGGAGGCAGCAGUGGGGAAUAUUGGGCAAUGGGCGAAAGCCUGACCCAGCGACGCCGCGUGGGGGAAGAAGGCCUUCGGGUUGUAAACCCCUUUUGCAGGGGACGACACAGGACGGUACCCUGCGAAUAAGCCACGGCUAACUCUGUGCCAGCAGCCGCGGUAAGACAGAGGUGGCAA